rnacentral:rRNA from 1 species
UACGGGGGGGGCAAGCGUUGUUCGGAAUUACUGGGCGUAAAGGGCUCGUAGGCGGCCAACUAAGUCAGACGUGAAAUCCCCAGGCUCAACCUGGGAACUGCGUCUGAUACUGGAUGGCUUGAAUUCGGGAGAGGGAUGCAGAAUUCCAGGUGUAGCGGUGAAAUGCGUAGAUAUCAGGAGGAACACCGGUGGCGAAGGCGGGUCUCUGGGCCGAAACUGACGCUGAGGAGCGAAAGCGUGGGGAGCAAACAGG